UCUAGGUGUUACAAAGGAGAUGAGAACACUGGAUAUGAAGGUCUGCUGCUGUGGUAAAGGUCUCCCAAGAGCUCCCAGAAUAAAGAAGAGAGAUUCCUACAGGUGGAGGUAGCAGUAGUAACUGGGCCAGCAGUGCAAUUCGGCUUCCAUUUUUCCUCAUUUGGUUUGAGAGAAAAGUCAUUCAGAGAGGAGAUGGAGAGAAAGUCACACGCAGAGGCAGGGAUAAGAAGCCCAGAGGUUAGCUGGACUCUUGGUUUUGGAAGACCCACAUUCCUUAUUUGGUAGCCUGAUGGCCCUCAUCUACCUAAGUCAUAUGCCCGGCAGACAGGCAGACUGAAACCAGCUGUCAUUUUUACCACGUAGAAAAAUUCAUCUUACAGAAUUCAAGGGGAAAAAAAGAGUUAAAAAGCAAUCAACCAAAAUCUCUUGUUCCUUCAUCCCUUGAGCAGCACUAGAAAUCUUCUCAGGAAUCUGAGACACAACUAAAGGGUAGGGGAGUGUUUAUUUAUAAUUCCAAGAUUGCCUGAGUUGGCUCUUGCUUAUUAAGCUGAGUGUUGUCCUAUAAGGGUUUUCUCUAAUCGGACCAUAGCAGCAGGACACAUACCAUGCAUUAUGGAAGAUUUCGUUUUGUAAUGAAGUGUGAGUCCAAAUGAAAAAGAUGUUUUUCAAUGUAAGAAUUUAUUCCUAUAAAAUCAGGAAAUAAUCAUCAAUUCUACAAACAAAUCAGAUAGUUCUGUGCGAUAUAUCUAACCACGAUUAACCACUUUGAGGCCAUCAGAGGCUAGAGUUCUAUACCAUUUCCUUCUCUUUGCUCUGACCCAGGCAUGUGGUCCAGAAUGAAUUCAGUCCUUGGGGAGCCUAGCCUCUAAUGAGAAGGGGCAUAGGUUCCCUGUUCUCCCAUUUUCCCUCUAAUUAAACCCCAAUCCAAGUACUGGAGAGAUGAUGUAUUUAUAGCUUAGGUUUAGGUUCCUGUUUUGCUUUAUUCCAAAAGGGAAUGCCUUCCAAAAAGGCAAUCAAACUACAGUAUAAAUUAGUUAUUGGGGAAGGUAUCUUUUCCCCUACACACAAAAGCAAUGCUAAAUACAAAACUCUCACAAGUGAGUAUUUGAAGAAAAACAAAACAAACUGAAAGAAGGUUGAGUAGAGCUUACCUCAUAACUACUCUUACGUUGAUUGGGAGGCUGACACAUGAACCUAAUCAAAGCAUAACGAAGUUGGUGUGAUUACUGAUGAGGUCUUUUACAUUUUACCUCACCUCUGAGCUAUCCAAACAACUCCCAAUAAAAGUCUUCUGGUAAAAGGGCCAAACUUGGCCAAUCUGCUGGAUUUUAUCUUCUCUGAUGAAGGAAUUUUCCUUGAUACCAGUCAGUUUCACUCAAUGAAGCCAGGACCUCCAGAUCCCUGGAGCUCACAAUGUUGUCUCCAAGCCUAGACAUGAUCAUCUUGGGAGAGAUAUACAUUUACCCAAGGUCAGGAAAGAAGAGAUAGAAAAGCAAAAAAAUCAGCCUGGGGCUCACGGACAAGUUUCCUUGGUAGAGACCGCUCGAACUAGUUGCCACACGGUUGAGGUUGGCAGGAAGCUGGAGAGGAAGACAAGUUCUUCUCACCUCUCAUUAAUAGUCUAAACCAGAGGUAGGGAACCUGCGGUCUCCAGGCCACAUGUGACCCUCCAGGUCAAGUAUGGUCC